UACGAAGGGGGGCUAGCGUUGUUCGGAUUUACUGGGCGUAAAGCGCACGUAGGCGGAUCGUUAAGUCGGGGGUGAAAUCCUGGAGCUCAACUCCAGAACUGCCUUCGAUACUGGCGAUCUUGAGUCCGGAAGAGGUGAGUGGAACUCCUAGUGUAGAGGUGGAAUUCGUAGAUAUUAGGAAGAACACCAGUGGCGAAGGCGGCUCACUGGUCCGAUACUGACGCUGAGGCGCGAAAGCGUGGGGAGCAAACAGGG
rnacentral:rRNA from 1 species